CAUUGAAUGGCUGAAAUUUAAAAGCAAUGGUCUCUUAAACCAAUUUAUAGUUAUUAUUAACUUUCAAUGA
rnacentral:tRNA from 1 species